GGUUGACUCAUUCACCAGCGGCCAAUGACUUAAUCAACAUGCCUCUGUAAUGAAGCCUCCAGAAAAACCCCAAAGGAUGGAGUUCAGAGAGCUUUCAGUUUAGGGAACCAGAAGGCUUCUGAAACAUGCCACCAUCCUGGGCCCAAAGUCCAUGGGGACUCCUUUGUUCUGGACAUUGUCCUAUGUUUCUCUUCAUCUGGCGAAAAAAAGCCUCUACCCAGCCUACGGUCCGUAUAGAUGUUGGCGAUCUUACCCUUGGCCAUCUGAAGUGCCUUGGUGAGUGCAAUCCGCUCCACUUUUCCCGCCGAGGUUCCGUGUGGCAGGGCUGUUGUCCAGAGUUCCUGCUCAGGAGAAACCACCACAGCCCCCGCACACCUCUUUCCAUCGACCAUGUAGCUACUCCCGUCUGUGAACAGAGUCAUCUCCACAUCCGGGAGGGGAGUGUCUCUGAGAUCCGGCCUUAUUCCUGUGACCUGGGUUAGGACCUCUCCGCAGUCAUGUGGGUGGUCAGUCAGCUCCUCUGGCAGCAACGUGGCUGGAUUUACGCUGGGGGCCAGAAAAUCACUUUUGGUUCAUUGAGGAGGAGGGCCUGAUACCCUGUCACUCGGGCGUUUGUCAUCCACUGGUCUGGGUAGAGUCUGGAGAAGGGCCUUGAUUGUGUGGGGGGUGUGGUCAAAAUGAGAUUUUGACCCAAAGUCAAUUUACUUAUAUCCUUAACCAGAAGGGCCAUGGCAGCAAUUAUGUGGAGGCAAGGGGGAACCC
rnacentral:lncRNA from 1 species